rnacentral:rRNA from 1 species
GGAAUAUUGCGCAAUGGGCGAAAGCCUGACGCAGCGACGCCGCGUGUGGGAUGAAGGUCUUCGGAUUGUAAACCACUGUCGGGAGGGACGAAGCUCUGACGGUACCUCCAAAGGAAGUACCGGCUAACUCUGUGCCAGCAGCCGCGGUAAUACAGAGGGGGCAAGCGUUGUUCGGAAUUACUGGGCGUAAAGGGCGCGUAGGCGGCCUACUAAGUCGAACGUGAAAUCCCCGGGCUCAACCCGGGAACUGCGUCCGAUACUGGUGGGCUUGAAUUCGGGAGAGGGAUGUGGAAUUCCAGGUGUAGCGGUGAAAUGCGUAGAUAUCUGGAGGAACACCGGUGGCGAAGGCGGCAUCCUGGACCGAUAUUGACGCUGAUGCGCGAAAGCCAGGGGAGCAAAC